rnacentral:misc_RNA from 1 species
GAUGAAGAACGCAGCGAAAUGCGAUAACUAAUGUGAAUUGCAGAAUUCAGUGAAUCAUCGAGUCUUUGAACGCACAUUGCGCCCCCUGGUAUUCCGGGGGGCAUGCCUGUCCGAGCGUCAUUGCUGCCCUCAAGCACGGCUUGUGUGUUGGGCUCCGUCCCCCCGGGGACGGGCCCGAAAGGCAGCGGCGGCACCGAGUCCGGUCCUCGAGCGUAUGGGGCUUUGUCACCCGCUCUGUAGGCCCGGCCGGCGCCAGCCGACAACCCAUCAUCCUUUUCAGGUAGACCUCGGAUCAGGUAGGGAUACCCGCUGAACUUAAGCAUAUCAAUAAGCGGAGGA